rnacentral:lncRNA from 1 species
CCAGUUAGUCUGUUACCCCUUUAAUCUGCAUGCUCUUUCUGGUAACCUAUUGGCAUUUGCAUUUGUGACAGGUAUUCGAAAAAUUGGUGGCAGAACGACUUUCUUGAAAGGCAGAAUGAAAAAAAUGAGAAGGUUUAGAGUCACUAAGGAGAUGGAGAAGCAACUAGGUCAUGAGAUCCAAUAUUGUUACCAGCAGUAGUUAAUUGAACCUGACAGAACAGAAUUGAAAAUGUAGACAUUUGAAGACGAACUCAUCAGCUGUAAAAAAGGUGCUGUGGAUCUAAUUACAGAAGCACACAGAUGUCAUCACAAAUACAGCUUUAAGGCCCAGGAUGUAAGUUCAGGGUUUGAAGCCCAGACCUCCGUUGAGAAGGAAAGAAGGAGUAUCAGAUUAAAUCUUUUUGUGUGUAGAAGCUCCCAAAGUAAGUUUUGGUUUGAACUGUGUUUCCCCACAGUAAACUGUAGUUUCAAUGUGUUUGAGAAAACUAACAUAUUUUAUUUUUCCUUGCCAUUUCUUUCUUUCUUUCUUUUCUUGUUUUCUUUUAUUUACAAAAGAAGUCACUUUCUG